rnacentral:rRNA from 1 species
CUAAGAAUCUUCCGCAAUGGGCGAAAGCCUGACGGAGCGACGCCGCGUGGACGAAGAAGGCCGGAAGGUUGUAAAGUCCUUUUGCAGAUGAAGAAUAAGGUGGUGAGGGAAUGCGCCACUGAUGACGUUAGUCUGUGAAUAAGCCCCGGCUAAUUACGUGCCAGCAGCCGCGGUAACACGUAAGGGGCGAGCGUUGUUCGGAAUUAUUGGGCGUAAAGGGCGUGUAGGCGGUCGUGCAAGCCUGGUGUGUAAGGCUACGGCUUAACCGUAGGAUUGCGCUGGGAACUGCAUGGCUAGAGUCCGGAAAGGGGAGGUAGAAUUCCUGGUGUAGGGGUGAAAUCUGUAGAUAUCAGGAAGAAUACCGGUGGCGAAGGCGACCUCCUGGUCUUGGACUGACGCUGAGGCGCGAAAGCGUGGGGAGCGAACA